AUUUUUUUUUCAACUCACAGAAAAUGAUGAUGGUUUUAUUCACGUCUGUGUGUGAUAUGUGCUGCCAGUUUACUUGUUACAAUUCAGCACAUUAACCAUCUUAUU